rfam:Lupinus angustifolius cultivar Tanjil chromosome LG15, whole genome shotgun sequence.
UGGUGCGAUCAUACCAGCACUAAUGCACCAGAUCCCAUCAGAGCUCCGCAGGUAAGUGUGCUUGGGCGAGAGUAGUACUAGGAUGGGUGACCUCCUGGGAAGUCCUUGUGUUGCACCUC